AUGGGUAAACAGGGGGAGCAACUGCCAAGUGGCAAGCAGGGGGGAGAGCAAAAAGCGAGCAGUGAGCAGGAGGAGGAAUGGGCGAGCAGGCAGGGGAAAGCGCUGCCAAGUAGUGAGCAGGGGGGAGAGCAAAGAGCAAGUGGCAAGUAGGUGGGAGAAACAGCCAAGCGGCGAGUGGACGGAAAAAAGCAGCUGCCAAGUGAGCAUCUGAAUAUAUGAAUAUAUCUCCAAAUCCUUUGCUGGGUUGAACUUUCAUUGACGGCUUUCCAUCUACUAGUCCCAGGAUACACAGACUGGAGGUAUGAUCCUGCUAUUAAUUCUGCAUGACUAGAUCCAUUGAUUUCCACAACAUUUAUGCAUGAAUAACUGGGUGAAGCAUUGCAGCCUUUGACUCCAGAACUCUGAUGCUUCAGAGAAAAAGACCUUGGGUGUAUUUUAGUCUUCAGCUCCAAUAAAUACAUAUUGGGCUUUCCCACUAUGCUUAAUAAAAGCCCAAGAACUCUGUGAAUGCCAAGAAUGCAUUGUAAUGCUAUUUAUACAUCUGCCAUGCUGGCUUAAAUCU